rnacentral:rRNA from 1 species
GCCUGCCGGCGAGUGGCGAACGGGUGAGUAAUACAUCGGAACGUGUCCUUAAAGUGGGGAAUAACGCAUCGAAAGAUGUGUUAAUACCGCAUAUCUCUGAGGAGAAAAGCAGGGGAUCGCAAGACCUUGCGCUAAAGGAGCGGCCGAUGUCUGAUUAGCUAGUUGGUGGGGUAAAGGCUUACCAAGGCAACGAUCAGUAGUUGGUCUGAGAGGACGGCCAACCACACUGGGACUGAGACACGGCCCAGACUCCUACGGGAGGCAGCAGUGGGGAAUUUUGGACAAUGGGCGAAAGCCUGAUCCAGCCAUGCCGCGUGAGUGAAGAAGGCCUUCGGGUUGCAAAGCUCUUUUAGUCGGAAAGAAAGAGUUGCAAUGAAUAAUUGUGAUUUAUGACGGUACCGACAGAAAAAGCACCGGCUAACUACGUGCCAGCAGCCGCGGUAAUACGUAGGGUGCGAGCGUUAAUCGGAAUUACUGGGCGUAAAGGGUGCGCAGGCGGUCUUGCAAGUCAGAUGUGAAAGCCCCGGGCUUAACCUGGGAAUUGCGUUUGAAACUACAAGGCUAGAGUGCAGCAGAGGGAGUGGAAUUCCAUGUGUAGCAGUGAAAUGCGUAGAGAUGUGGAAGAACACCGAUG